CAGGUACCGGACCAGCACCCCUCGGGAGCAGCGCUUGGUCACCAGGUACUUCUCCACCAGGGGGUACAUGAAGCAGCCGUCGGUGGGGUCGCUGGAGAGAGGGGGUGGAGGAGGGAGAGAGGGGCGUUUGCUUAUUGGGAUGUGAAACCGCGGGUAAACUUACAUUGUCGGAUCGACCUCGCGACCACCAGUUACACAGAGAACUGAAGUUACGUUUCCCCAUACUCCGAAUGUGCUAUUAAUAUAUUUAACACACAACAUAUAUAAUAAUAAAAUGA